AUUGAACGCUGGCGGUAGGCCUAACACAUGCAAGUCGAACGGCAGCACAGUAAGAGCUUGCUCUUACGGGUGGCGAGUGGCGGACGGGUGAGGAAUACAUCGGAAGCUACUUUUUCGUGGGGGAUAACGUAGGGAAACUUACGCUAAUACCGCAUACGACCUACGGGUGAAAGCAGGAGAUCUUCGGACCUUGCGCGAUUGAAUGAGCCGAUGUCGGAUUAGCUAGUUGGCGGGGUAAAGGCCCACCAAGGCGACGAUCCGUAGCUGGUCUGAGAGGAUGAUCAGCCACACUGGAACUGAGACACGGUCCAGACUCCUACGGGAGGCAGCAGUGGGGAAUAUUGGACAAUGGGCGCAAGCCUGAUCCAGCCAUACCGCGUGGGUGAAGAAGGCCUUCGGGUUGUAAAGCCCUUUUGUUGGGAAAGAAAAGCAGCAGGUUAAUACCCCGCUGUUCUGACGGUACCCAAAGAAUAAGCACCGGCUAACUUCGUG
rnacentral:rRNA from 1 species